CCAGACUCCUACGGGAGGCAGCAGUGGGGAAUAUUGCACAGUGGGGGAAACCCUGAUGCAGCGACGCCGCGUGAGUGAAGAAGUAUUUCGGUAUGUAAAGCUCUAUCAGCAGGGAAGAAAAUGACGGUACCUGACUAAGAAGCCCCGGCUAACUACGUGCCAGCAGCCGCGGUAAUACGUAGGGGGCAAGCGUUAUCCGGAUUUACUGGGUGUAAAGGGAGCGUAGACGGCAUGGCAAGUCAGAUGUGAAAGCCCGGGGCUCAACCCCGGGACUGCUCUUGGAACUGCGUGGCUGGAGUGCAGGAGGGGCAGGCGGAAUUCCUGGUGUAGCGGUGAAAUGCGUAGAUAUCAGGAGGAACACCGGUGGCGAAGGCGGCUUACUGGACUGUAACUGACGUUGGGGCUCGAAAGCGUGGGGAGCAAACAGGAUUAGAUACCCCUGUA
rnacentral:rRNA from 1 species